rnacentral:lncRNA from 1 species
UUUUAGCGAGGCUGGUCUCAUUGUUAUUUCAAAGGAUAACCCUAAAAGUAACUACAAUUUUCUAUUGACCACCGAUCUAGAAGAGAAGAAAACCCAGUUGUGCGAAUAGAACUAUAAAAAGAAAUUGAAAAUGGGAUUGCAAUGGCCCAAACUUAACCAAUGAAUCGGACCACCUGAAGGCUUCAAAACGGACCAAUUGGAGGCAUGUGGUCGAUUCACAACGGGUCUGUAUGAUUAACCAAACUUCAAACCUAAUGCCUUACCUAAGGCCAUGGUUUUAAAAUUUUCAGAGACGUUAAAGUGAUAGCCCGAACUUGAAUACAUUAAUGUUGCACCUUUCCAUACCAAGCUAAAAACAUCAGAGCUAAAUUCAAGUAGUCAAACUUAUUAACAUAGCACAGUCGAGUAAACGCAGAAACCACUGAACCUUUUUAUAAUGGCCAGACAUCCAGCUGUAUCACUAAUUGCAAGUAUUCAUAAACAAAUAUAUCCUAAAACAACCCACAUAUUAUGAUACUAUUUCAAUUCCUUUCUCUAGACCAAACCUCACUCAAUGAAACAACAUUAAAUACAUAUUAUCCAACUGAGAGACUACAAAUUGAAUCAGUUUAAAAGUUCGAAUAAAAAUGCCAUUUCAUGUUCAGUUUCAGACUCAUGCUUCACAAUUUUUAUUACAGCUGUCAAGGCCAAGCAAAGUACCUGGAAAGAUGAAACAAUGAAGAGAAGAAUAAUCAGCAGCAGGCAGCAGGCAGCAGAAACAAUUGAACCACAGUAGUAAUCUCAGCCCAGAGAGACAGAUCAAUAACCCAGGUACCAAACAGGUGGAGAAAUAGACCAAAAUAGCACUAACUCCAAACAAACGAACUCAGAUGGCAUCCAUAAAAAUUAGCAGGCAUCAAGCUCUAUAAAUUUCAGUUUAAUUCAACCAAAAGUGCUCCAAAACAAACCAGUAAUCCCCGAUAAAAAAUUGAUCAAAAUGAAUUAAAUCAUCAAUGAAACAGUACCCAAAAUGCUUUCUAUUUUUUUUAAAAUUUUUCUUUCUGAAAUUCAGGCGGUUUUCUUCAAGUUGGAAAAAUAGAAAAAGUAUUUUGUCAACUGAAAAUGGUUGAACUAGAAGAAGCCCCUUUGUUAAGGAACUAUUUGAUGCCUUUAUAGGCAAAAUGAGGGCAUCCCUCAUAUUUUCAGUUUGCCUUUUCAGUCCCUGCUUUUUUUACAGCUUUUGUCCCUUAGUUUUUAACUUGAUAAACAAGUACAUACAUCUAACUUGUUGAAAUCUACACUUAUACCCUAUUCUAGAAGCCUCUAGGAUGCUCUUUAGCAAGACAAUUCCUAUACUACCCUUUCCUUGUUUUGGAAUUACUAUUAUUCCCAGAACAAUCCUUUUCAAUCCCAAGAAUGCCCCGCCAAUGAUCUGAAAAAUAUAGUCGAAGGUCAAUUGAUCCCAAUCCCCUCGCCCUAGCUAGAAUUUGACUAGAGUUAACUAAUCCAAAUAUCUUCUCAGUUAUAUCCAAUACACCUAUCUUGACAUUACCUUAAUUAACACUAAAAGCAACUGAACAAUUAACAAACUGAUAAACUGAAAUCAAUCCAAAUCAAAUUCUAAAUCAAUAGAGCAAAGAAAAGCCUAAUUAACUAACGACCAAUUAUCAACAAACACAUUAAAAUUGAAUUAUCAUCAGCAAACUAAAAGUGAAGAACAAUUAUGUCAUGAUUAAACUAAACGUAUAGCACAAAAAAGGACUAGAGUGGGAUUAACAAGAACACCAUUAAGCAGAUAGAAAUAACACAUGACAAAACUGGACGAAUGAAUUUACUAGUUGAAACAGAUGGAAUGACAACAAAGAAAAAAGAUAAAAUAAACUAUACUACGAUACUUACUAUGGAAAUUAAUCGACCCUGAAAAAAUUCCCCAAAACAGUUUCGUUCCCCCAACACCCUAGAUCUGCGAUUCAGGCUCUUCUGCCUGUAUUCGAGGGAUUCUGAGCAUGUUUUAUUGAUUAGGGAGGGAUGAGGGUUAUCUGGUAUUAAUUUGGUGGGAAAAAGAGGCGGCGACGCCAUUGGGAUUCCAAGGCGACAACUAGGGUUCGUAAAUUCUAAGAGGAUUCGAAGAGUUCUUGGUGUGUUCGAACGUUUCUGGCCAUGGAUUGAGGAUGUAGGAGAUGGAGUGGUGUUGGGGUGUUCAUUUGGUAGGGAUUAGACUCCGGCGCCGCCACAUGAGGAGUUGAGGGUAUGAGGGGGGGGCGGGGCGUCGCUAGGGUUUACAGAGAGUAUGGAUAAUUGGAGAGAAGAGGGAUAGGGGGUGGUGC